GACGAACUCUGGCGGCGCGCCUAACACAUGCAAGUCGAACGAGCAAGAGAGAGCUUGCUUUCUCGAGCGAGUGGCGAACGGGUGAGUAACGCGUGAGGAACCUGCCUCAAAGAGGGGGACAACAGUUGGAAACGACUGCUAAUACCGCAUAAGCCCACGACCCGGCAUCGGGUAGAGGGAAAAGGAGCAAUCCGCUUUGAGAUGGCCUCGCGUCCGAUUAGCUAGUUGGUGAGGUAACGGCCCACCAAGGCAACGAUCGGUAGCCGGACUGAGAGGUUGAACGGCCACAUUGGGACUGAGACACGGCCCAGACUCCUACGGGAGGCAGCAGUGGGGAAUAUUGCACAAUGGGGGAAACCCUGAUGCAGCGACGCCGCGUGGAGGAAGAAGGUCUUCGGAUUGUAAACUCCUGUUGUUGAGGAAGAUAAUGACGGUACUCAACAAGGAAGUGACGGCUAACUACGUGCCAGCAGCCGCGGUAAAACGUAGGUCACAAGCGUUGUCCGGAAUUACUGGGUGUAAAGGGAGCGCAGGCGGGAAGACAAGUUGGAAGUGAGAUCCAUGGGCUCAACCCAUGAACUGCUUUCAAAACUGUUUUUCUUGAGUAGUGCAGAGGUAGGCGGAAUUCCCGGUGUAGCGGUGGAAUGCGUAGAUAUCGGGAGGAACACCAGUGGCGAAGGCGGCCUACUGGGCACCAACUGACGCUGAGGCUCGAAAGUGUGGGUAGCAAACAGGAUUAGAUACCCUGGUAGUCCACACCGUAAA
rnacentral:rRNA from 1 species